GAGCAAGUAUAAAUGCAGUAACGAGUAAUUUUAUAGAUAUAUAAUAACUAUUACUUAGUAUGAUGAAUGACUUUUUUUUUAAGAAAAAGAGAAUAUUCCUAGAUAUAUAUUUGGUCAUUAGAUUUUUUAAUUCUUACUUCUUUAUAUAUAUUUUUUAUAAGUAAGAUUUAUAUUACAAACCAUGGGCAUAAAGAGAUUAUUUUAAUUUUGGAUUAAUUACAUUUACCUCCCCUGAAGUAUAACCAAACUACCAAUCAAACCCUGAGGUUUGGUCAAAUAACAAAUAUACCCCUAUCACUAACUUCUGUUAAAUGUCUGUGACGGAAUGAGUAAAAUGAUUACAUACCCAAAAUAGUUGAAACUGCCUGUCUUACAAAACAUCGUGUACCUUCUUUUCUUUGUUAUUUUUUUUCCAAUUUUCUAGAACCCUCAAAGGUAACAACAAUGGCAACAGGAAUGUUUGGGCUGCUGUUGCUGCAUCCAUCAUCAGCCAUAUGCGCCUGCCACCGUCGCCAAUCGCCGACUCCAGCUUCUUCAUCUUUUUUUUGUGUGGGUUGCCAUUCUUGACACAAACUCAACCAAAAUUCACUGCAUAACUGUUCAAAUAGGCCUACAUGUGAGACUGCUCUGUCUCGCCUUUCCCAUCGGAAGCAAAGACCAAGUUCCACACUUUUGCAGUAAAUCACUUCUCAACGGGUAUAACAUGAACAAGUCAAAUGAACCAAAUUUGGCUACUUCCAUCUUUCAGAAAGCAAGUUCUAACCUCAAAAUUGAAAAACGAAAGAAAAAUAAAAUUUUAAAAAUUGCAAGUGAAGAUUAAUCACCAGCUAUUCCAUUACCUUCUUCAAAACCCAUUUCCUAUCGCUCACCAAAUUUAACACAAGCCUUUUUCCUAUCCCUUACCAAAUUUAAGACAAGCCUUUCAAAUGAUAUGAAGGACAAACUUCCAAAUCUCAAUUUACAAAAAACUGGAAAAAAAAAUUCCAAAUCUAGUAGCCAAGACAUUUUGAAGAUAAUAGUUUCACUUGUGUAUCUAAGCAAAUACCAAAUGAUUUCUCUAGACAUCGUCUACCAAUUCUGGUGCAAAUCCAGCACUAUAAUGUCCGUAUCUUCAUAUGUUCUUAAUGGCUUAACCAAAGAAGAAAUAAAAAAUUGGAUGGAAGAGGAAAAGGCAACGGCUUUGGUUUAGAAAGAUGGAUGAGGAGAAAAGAUGAAGGAAUUAGAAUAUGCGAUGGAAUUGACGGCAAAGAAGGGUUAAUGGUUGGAAGCAAUUUAACAUGCAAUUUUGGUGGAGAUGCAAACACCGAAGUUGCAGGCUUGAAAGGGAGUCUACCACACUACUUUUUUUUUUCCUUUUUCUUUUUAUUAUUUUGAGGUGAAUUCUUAUUUU
rnacentral:lncRNA from 1 species